GUUUUCUGCGGUGUUUGGAACUCCCGCUAUCGAAAAUGGAUUCUAGGAUAUUUUCACCUGGUGAUGACGGUGGUGCCAUAGAGUAUCACGAGCUCUUAAACAUUGAGCGCGCUGCUUGUGAUGGGAAUGCGAAUGAAUUUCAGCGUGAGGAUAGCCAGGGUCAGGAGCACUGGGGGCAUGUUUCUGCUUCAUCUUGUAUUCAAUGGAGCGAGGCAGCGAGGGAAGGGAGGGUCAGUUCGAUGAGGGAACUGUUGAUUCGUUACCCUGAGUCUGUGAUGGAUGUCACGCCAAUGACUAGAGAGACACCGCUUCACCUUGCAGUGAGGCACGGUCACUGUGAUGUUGUCAGGUGGUUGGUGGAGACGCUUAGACGGACAACCUGUUACAGAGAUGUCAUUAAUAGGAAGGAUUGCGGCGGCGAUACAGUUUUGCAUCUUGCAACCUGCAGGAAACAACUUCCAACCCUAAAACUAAUGCUGGAAGAUAGUCCUACUCAUAGUGACAUGGUUGAGGUAAAUGCCAAAAACAAUGGAGGCUUUACAGCACUGGACAUCUUGGAAGCCAUACCAGAAAAUGAGGAGGUUGAUGUGGCGAUAAAAGAAAUUCUUGUAAGAGCAGGAGCUUCGAGAGGCAGGGACAUAGCUGACAGUAGCAACCGUGAGGUUUAUAUUGAAGUUGGGAAGCAGUGGCAGCGCUUAUUCCCGAAACAAGCAACCAGGUCAGAAUUCCUUAUCAGUAAGUAUCAUGGGUUGUUAAUUACAUCGACUCUGUUGGCAACUCUCACUUUCCAUGCUGCAUUAAGACCUCCCACAGUUAUGUCAGAAGUUUUUCAUAAUGAGUCUAGCAGGACCUUCCCAUUGGAGAAACAAGAUGCAGAAAUCAAUCAUCUUUUCAUUUUGUUUAAUUCAAUCGCCUUUUUCACUUCAA
rnacentral:misc_RNA from 1 species